GGAGAGGUACCGAAGCGGUCAUAACGGCGCCGACUCGAAAUCGGAUGGGGGGUCAAAAGCCCCCACGCGGGUUCGAAUCCCGCCCUCUCCGCCA
rnacentral:tRNA from 1 species